GGGGGUGAAAUGGUUUCGACGGGAAGUGAUGAACGUUAAGUUGCAGGUCGAGCUGAAGGCCCUCGUUUCAGCCAAAAGCUGAUCCGCCUCUGGCGGAAAACGACUUCAACAACUCAAAAGCCAACUCAGACACUGAGCUUGCUCUCGCGGCUUAAUUGACCGCGCGUCCGUACCUCUGUCUCCCGAACGGGGGAUACGGGCGAAAACUAAUUGGGAUCGCCCUAGCUUCCAGGCCCAUGGGAAACUAGAGUUAAAUCUGUUGGGAUCGCCUGGCAAAGCCUUCGCUGGUAAGGCCACUGCCAGGCUAAAAACAAUUUGCCAGAUAAACCUGUAGAUGCUUAGCGCUAACCUUUCCGGACCGGGGUUCAAUUCCCCGCACCUCCACCA
rnacentral:tmRNA from 2 species